GAGCACGACGUGCAGGGAGGAUAGGUAAUACGGGGGGUGGGGGAGGUAAUGGGACAUACUGGGCGUAAAGCGUGGGCAGGCGGCUAUGGAAGUCAGAGGUGAAAUCCCCGGGCUCAACCUGGGAACUGCAUUGGUGACUGCAUGGGUAGAGUGGGUCAGAGGGAGGUGGAAUUCCGCGUGUAGCAGUGAAAUGCGUAGAGAUGCGGAGGAACACCGAUGGCGAAGGCAGCCUCCUGGGAUGACACUGACGCUCAUGCACGAAAGCGUGGGGAGCAAACAGGAUUAGAUACCCCGGUAGUC
rnacentral:rRNA from 1 species